rnacentral:tRNA from 1 species
GCCUUUGUGGUGUUGUGGUCAGCGCGCUCGAUGUGUAACCGUCGAACCGAGGUCCGUGGUUCGAUUCCCGGCGAAGGCC